rnacentral:tRNA from 1 species
UCCCUGGUGGCUUAGAUGGUAAAGAAUCUGCCUGCAAUGCAUGAGACCUGGGUUCAAUCCCUGGGUGGGGAA